rnacentral:misc_RNA from 1 species
CUUGAAAGGAGAUGAAGUGGAAACUGCCCAUGCAGCUGAGCUUCUUAGGGUUGCUUGCUUAAACCAUGGCUUCUUUCAAGUCACCAACCAUGGAGUUGAUGCUUCCCUUAUUCGAGCUGCGCAUGAAGAAAUAGAUACAAUCUUUAAGCUCCCUUUAGAUAAGAAGCUCAGUGUUCGCAGGCAACCCGGCGGUGUGUUUGGAUAUUCCGGUGCUCAUGCCGAUCGGUAUUCGUCUAAGUUGCCUUGGAAGGAGACUUUCUCAUUUGGGUACCAUGGGAAUCACUCUCACCCAAUCGUCGUUGAUUACUUCAAACGUUUCUUGGGGGAACAUUUUCAACCAACAGGGUGGGUUUACCAAAGAUACUGUGAAGAAAUGAGGAGGUUAUCUCUAGUAAUUUUGGAGCUAUUGGCAGUGAGCUUGACAGUGGAUCGUUUUUACUACAGGAAAUUUUUUGAAGAUGGUGAGACCCCCACAAGAUCUUGUUUGCAGAGAAGGGCCAAGGAAGUACCCAGAUUUCACAUGGUCUCACUUAUUGGAGUUUACACAAAAGCACUACAGAG